CUUAAAAAUCAACGUUGAAAUUUGGUUGAAAUAACGUCAGUUGUUUGUUCAACGUUGAUUCAACGUUGAAACAACGUUGAAACAACAGUGAAGUAAAUGGUUGCAGAGAGACAAUAAAAUAAUGUUUUAUAAUAUGUGAAUCAUUCAGAAAAAAAAUUAAAAACUCAUUUUAUAAAAUUGAUGACAUUAUAAAAAAAAUUUAACAAAUAAUUGAAUAUACAGGUAGCGACGUAAUCUCGCGAGAUUACACGAGACUGGACUGUUUUAACGGCUGUCUUCGAGAUCUUGCGUAUCACACGAGAAAAUGCUUCAGAGAAAGAAGAGGUAAGGAAAUAUAAGUCAAUGUAAACGCAUAACGUUAUUUUAUUCACAUAUACAAAGUGGUAUGACAAAAAAGCACGAUGCCAAAUCGGGUUUUUUUCUGUUAGUUGCGAAUGUAUUCGUUAUAGUAGUUAAUUUGCUAGUCCACGGAUGUUCCCGCCGAAAUUGGACUUCGUUAUUAUGAAUAUUAAUAAAUUAAUAUGAGGUGUGUUUUUAUCAACUUAACCACUUGGUUGUUUUUGCUUCAGAAAAGCAACUAGUUAUAAAUGUAAGCGCUUUUUUGGACAACUUCGGUGAAAAAGUGUUGAUUUCGUAGUUCAGUCAGCGUAAUUUAUAUCCGAGAGGUCUUACAGGCGCCACAGACACCUAUCAGCCUUUUGUAAGGAGGAGCAGCAGCUCGAGUGCGGUGCGGUCAGUAGCCCUUCAAAUUAGAAAAGUGAGGAUGAUCUUGUCAAUGCUGAGAUUUUCAUGCAUCAGCAGCCACUACAUCUGGAUCAGAUUUAACAAGAAACAGACAGCAAGGGUUGUCAGGUCAGAAACAGAAUGACACACAAACACAAGAAACUUCACAGGCAGAUCAACAUGCAAUUUGAAGAUGUGUGAUAAAAUACAAAGAGGUGAAGUAGUGUGUCUUUCCAGAUGCCCAAAUCAUUCCCCCUUAAAAGAUGAGCCUGAAGAGGAUAUUUGGGAAGAUGCUGUUUCAUAAGUCGCUUUGCCAGAUCACCUGUGGUCGGGAUGUCUGCUAACAAGAUGCCUUGCUGGUCUGAG